UUUACUGUCCCAGCAGGUGGAAGGAAGGUUUCUUCCCCCGCCUCUCCUCCCACCCUGCAAUAGCCCAGCCAAUGGGAGACCAUCACAACUCAGCCAAUGAAAAGCCACUACACUUUGAGCUCCCAGUUUACUCCAAUGGACUUUUUGUUUCUAACAGCCCCUCCCAGCUCCCCGCCCCGCCCCCCACCGCUUUCUCUAUAAAGGAGCCUUCCUCUCCUCUAUUAUAUGGACUUGUUAAGGUUUUGUAGUACUUUGGUUGUGUGGCUUGCAGUUCUGUGCUAUUCCCGAAUCAACCCGUUUUUUGCUGGCAAGGAAACCGGUGGUUUUAUUUUUAAGGUUAGCCUCUUUCACUUUCUCAAGGACGUUGCUCCCACAGCUACCCACUCUCCUGCAUCAUGGAAUUUAUCCUUUACUGGAUCAUUCCCAUUAGGUUAAAAAUGGCCUAUAGUAUUGUCCUUUUAAAAAAACCCUUCUUAGUUCUGCAUUUUCCUCCAGUUACCACUACUUUUCCUGCCUCUCUCCACCACAAAACUCCUCCAAAGAUUUGGCUCUACCUGCUACCCAACCCAUCAGCAAUUCCUGUUGUCUCAGCCCCCCAAAUAUAUUCAGAACUAACCCCCUGUUCUGCCACCGCCCUAGUCUUCUCUUAGCUGCCUUGGCUUCCCAUUGCAACCACAAUGAACUCUACCUCCUCCAUGUUUCAUGAGGCCCUUUAUGCCUUGACCCCCACCACUAGUGACCUUGUAAUGCACUCUCCUCUUUGCUUGCUAAUCUACAGCCACACGGACCUUCUUUCUGUCCCUCAAUCACUCCAGUAUCUUCCUGCCUCAGGGUCUUUGCACUUGCUGGUCCCUCUGCCCGUGGCACCCUUCCCCCAAACUCCACCAUGGCUUCCUCCUGAUCAUCAUUCAUGUCUCAGGUCAAGUGACCUCCUUCUCAAAGUGCCCCCCCCAGCUGAGGAAAUUCUCCAUUAUUCACCAUAGUAUUCCAUUUAAUUCUUCCCAGCACUUAACAUGACCUAGGAUUAUCUUGUUUUUAAAUUUUUAUGCAUUUAAAACAUGAUUUUUAAAAGGUUUUUAUUUAAGUAAUCUCUAUACCUAACGUGGGGCUCAAAGUCACAAUCUUGAUACCCCAAGAUCAAGAGUCACACGCUCCCCUGACUGAGCCAGCCAGGUGCCCCUAAAUUUCUAUGCAUUUCUUAAAUGUUUGUGUUCAGUGAAAGUGAACUUCAAGAGGACAGUGUCUAUGUUCCGUUAACCGCUGUUCGUAACCACACCUAUGCCUAGCACAUAGUCCGGGCAUAAUACACAUUUGUCAGUUUUGCUGACCAUCUCUCCUCUGGUUCCAGCCAGACCAUAUCUUUCCAGGACUUUUAUCUCCUGGAUAAAAGCUUUGACUUUGA